rnacentral:rRNA from 1 species
UACAGAGGUCCCAAGCGUUGUCCGGAAUCAUUGGGCGUAAAGCGCGUGUAGGCGGCUCGGUAAGUCCGCUCUGAAAGUCCAGGGCUCAACCCUGGGAUGCGGGUGGAUACUGCCGGGCUCGAGUCCGGAAGAGGCGAGUGGAAUUCCUGGUGUAGCGGUGAAAUGCGCAGAUAUCAGGAGGAACACCGAUGGCGAAGGCAGCUCGCUGGGACGUGACUGACGCUGAGACGCGAAAGCGUGGGGAGCAAACAGG